GACGAACGCUGGCGGCGUGCCUAAUACAUGCAAGUAGAACGCUGAAGAGAGGAGCUUGCUCUUCUUGGAUGAGUUGCGAACGGGUGGGUAACGCGUAGGUAACCUGCCUUGUAGCGGGGGAUAACUAUUGGAAACGAUAGCUAAUACCGCAUAACAAUGGAUGACACAUGUCAUUUAUUUGAAAGGGGCAAUUGCUCCACUACAAGAUGGACCUGCGUUGUAUUAGCUAGUAGGUGAGGUAACGGCUCACCUAGGCGACGAUACAUAGCCGACCUGAGAGGGUGAUCGGCCACACUGGGACUGAGACACGGCCCAGACUCCUACGGGAGGCAGCAGUAGGGAAUCUUCGGCAAUGGGGGCAACCCUGACCGAGCAACGCCGCGUGAGUGAAGAAGGUUUUCGGAUCGUAAAGCUCUGUUGUAAGAGAAGAACGAGUGUGAGAGUGGAAAGUUUACACUGUGACGGUAUCUUACCAGAAAGGGACGGCUAACUACGUGCCAGCAGCCGCGGUAAUACGUAGGUCCCGAGCGUUGUCCGGAUUUAUUGGGCGUAAAGCGAGCGCAGGCGGUUAGAUAAGUCUGAAGUUAAAGGCUGUGGCUUAACCAUAGUACGCUUUGGAAACUGUUUAACUUGAGUGCAAGAGGGGAGAGUGGAAUUCCAUGUGUAGCGGUGAAAUGCGUAGAUAUAUGGAGGAACACCGGUGGCGAAAGCGGCUCUCUGGUCUGUAACUGACGCUGAGGCUCGAAAGCGUGGGGAGCGAACAGG
rnacentral:rRNA from 1 species